AGGAACUCAGACCAAAGCAUUGCAGUUCCACUUUAUAUCAACUAAAUAGGAUUUAAAAGCAUGAUAUGUCCUCUUUAAUGGAAAGAACAGUCCUUAGACACGUCUUUAACUGGACUUACAUAUUGUUUACUGCUGAAGCGUAAUUGUUUUGACAUGAUUUUCAUUUUCUACAGUUUAUUUCUAUAAUAGGACGCUACACAUAUUAGUGCAGGGAACAAUUCCAGUCUUAUAUUUUUGUCUUGUUGACCAUUUGUGACAAUGAUUAUUUUUCAGUUUUGAUUUAAUUAAAGCUGAAUCUCAAGUCUUUAAAUGUUGAGCAGUAACCUGUGAAAAUCAUAAAAAAAAAGAGUUUGAUUGACCAAACUCUCGAAGAGCACUGUCUUGGAAAAACGACCAAGUCGUGCAUGUGAAAAAAACAGCCGAGUGUUCGAUCAGUUGGGUCGUACAAAGAGGGUCAUCAAGUCAUUCUGGCRAUAUUUCGUGACACACUCAAAACAAGAAUUAGGUUCCCAUAACUGUCUCUAUUAUUCAAACAUACUAGAAGAAAAAUAUGAACCUCUUAAAAGAGUUUCUCAUAUUUUGAAUAGUCUGCAUACUGCAGUACUUGAAUACAUACUCAUACAGUAUCGUUUAUAGCAAAUAACUGAAUUAUUUCAUUUAUUUAGCACAAAGCAUGCUGAAUAGAAAAAACGUCACCUUUUUUUUUAAAAYGGUCUAAAGUGACUGUCUUUUUUUUCUUUUCUUAAUCUUCACUCGCAGCUCAUUUCUYAAAGACUGCGAUCUAUCAACAAAGGCAUGACAAAAGAAAAACAAAAAAACAAAAAAACAAGAAGCUUAGGCAUCUAAAUCAAUAAAGAGAAAAGUGAUUGCCUAAAACUGUUGAGAACCAACUUGAAGGAGUAYUUGUACAAACAUACUCCCUUUCCUAAAAUAGCACAGACGCCUCUGGACGAGGCACGUAAGAGAAUAAAUAUGAGGGUGUCAUGUGUGGGGAAAAAAACAAAACAAAGUGUUGUUUUUGCUGUUAAAACAGGGCCGUUUCUGCUCUGGCUUUUAUUUACAAUUCUACCUAUGGUGUGACAUAAGUGUGAUUUUUUUUCCCCCACAAAAACAAAAUAAAAUAAAAAAAAAAAAAACAAGGAAACAGGAAGUGAGAAGGUUUGAGGUGUGCUGUGGAGCACAAGGAGGCACCAUACCCAGCUGGGGUAAACACACAACCCCACAUUGGUUGGUAUUGGUCUUUAGUCAUGGAUGCACUGAGAGGAGCAAAAUAAUAAAUGAACCAAAGCCUUUUGGGUAAAAACUUUAAACAGACAGAUUUAAUACACCGUCCAAAAUUGUGACACAAACAAGCUGAGUGAACAGUUCAGUACUGAUAGCUUUUUUUUUUUUUGCAUUGGAAUAAAACAGAAAAAGAAAAAAAAGAAAUCACCUCUGCUCCAGAUCAACGCUACUGUAUUAACACAGUGAAAGUCUGGCUGGAUGUGGCUACAAAACCAACAGAAAAAAUAAAACCCAUUGCUGCUUAUCUGCUUAUCUCAAAAGAAAACUGACCCCGGCCUGCUUUAUCGCCAGGUUUGCUUCAACUCAGCCCUUCAAAGUGAGACGACGCAACUCUUAAACAAAACAAAACAAAACAAAACAAUACAAAAAAAAAGAAAAAAAGAAAAAAGAACACCCAUUUUAUUUUUCCUCCUUACAAAUAAAACUUGGCUUCCAAAGCAGUAAACUGAGUCUGUUUGCUGGCUUUUUUACUUCAUCGUGUUUGCGCUGCUUUCACACAAUAUAGCCUUCAGUGUCACCUUUGGGAACAAUGGUCUUUAUCUGGCAAAAGUUACACAGUCUUGCUUCGACCCCCCCCCCCAAAAAAAAAAAAAAAAAAAAAAAAAA